GCAUCUGAUCUUGUCCCGAAUGGGGUGGCAGUUCUACAAUACGCAGAUGACACGAUCAUUUGCCUCGAGCAUGAUGUGGAAAAAGCUUUAAAUCUGAAGCUCCUCUUAUACAUGUUCGAGCUCAUGUCUGGACUGAAAGUAAACUUUCAGAAGAGCGAGAUCAUGACUGUCGGAGGGGACACUGACAUUGAUAGCAAGUAUGCCAAGAUCUUUAACUGCGAGAUCGGGCACUUUCCAAUUAAAUAUCUUGGUAUGCCUGUGAGUUUCACAACUCUUAAAGAUUCUGUGUGGGAAUUUAUUGUAGAUAAAUACCUUAAGUGUUUCGGGUCUUGGAUUGGUAAUGCUGCAUCCAGCGGGGGCAGACUUACCUUGCUUACCUCGGUAUUGUCGCAGCUAUCUUUAUAUCAUAUGUCCAUGUGGCUUAUGAGUAAAACUUUCAUAGAAAGGCUGGACAAGCACCGUCGUAAUUUUUUUGGCACGGGUGCAAUAAGAAGAAUAGAUAUUACCUGGUCAAAUGGAAGAGGGUGUGUAGAUCGAAGGGCAAAGGGGGUCUGGGUGUCAAAGACCUCAGGAAACAAAACAUCAGCCUGAUGGUGAAAUGGUGGUGGAAGUUAGAACCCCAAACUAGGGUUUGGCAAAACUUGGUGAGAGCCAGAUAUUUACAAAACAAGUCGGUGGCAACUGUGCAACCAAGACAAUCUGACUCGCCAUGCUGGAAAUCUCUUCUGAAAGUCAGGGAGUUGUACAUGAUGGGGAGAAAGAUUAAACUAGGAUGCGGAAACCUGAGCAGGGUGUGGAAAGACUCAAUUGAGGGGCUACCCACACUCAAUUUGAGGUUCCCUCGGUUGUUUGAAAUAUGUACAGAUCAGGAUUGUACGGUCCAAAACUUUAACAGGGUAGAGACUUUGACCUUUUUUAGAAGGCGUUUAUGCCCUGAUCUUAGAGAACAGUGGGAUAGGGUUCGACAAUACAUCUGGGGGCUUAACACUACAGCUGAGGAAGAUGUAGUGUUUUGGGGUUUGAGUAAGAAUGCUAAGUACUCCACUAAAUCUAUGUAUAAUUGGCUGGAAAAACCUCUUCAUGGAAACAACUAUAGAUGGAUCUAGGAGGCAAAACUACCUCUUAAGAUACAGAUCUUCUUGUGGCAGAUGGCCCAAGACGCGGUGCUCACUAGAGCGGUGAUGAGGAGGAAAAAAUGGCCGGGGAACCCUGUGUGUUCCUUCUGUAACAAUAUUGAAACUGCGUCCCACCUGUUUUUUACGUGUCCUGUGGCGCGUGUUGCCUGGAGAACAGUUGGAGUUGUGUUGGGGACUGACUUAUGCCCAAAUAACACCUGGCAAUUCUAUGUGUGGUGUAAUAUGUUCCUACCCAAUGAAACUAGAUUUUAUACUGUUGGUUUGGCGGCAGUAACUUGGGCUAUUUGGCUUGCGCGUAAUAAGGCUACUUUUGAAAAACAAUUGAUCAAAUCUCGUUUUGAGAUUGUGUAUUCGGCUUGUUCGUUUCUCUUGUAUUGGGCAGGUCUUCAGCCAGUGGAAGAAGUGGCAAGAUUGCGACUCGGAGCUGAGAUGAUUAGAGCGAGCACAACCAAGUUGAUGGCAAUGUGUGAAGGGGCCAAGCGCGCAACGGGAGACGAGGGUGAGGUGUUCUCUGGAUGAUGCUGCUGAUGUGCUCUACAUUCUGCCCUGGUUGAUAGGGGGCGAUGUGCUAGGGCCUAAGACUCAGGCUCCACUGUUGGGUAACUUUUGAAAUCAAUAUGCUUUUUGUUCUUCUGGCACCUCGUGUUUGUGCCUUUUCCCCUGGUUUGUAAUAGCCAGGCUCAAACUAAGUAGGUGCUGUCAGGUUUUCGCCCCAUGGUGCUCGUUUCGAUGGCGGGAGAGCACAGUGGGUUUCCUGGCAGUGCGUUGAACUCGCUGCUCCUCUUUCCUUGCUUCCUGACGGAGACGGUUGUAUUUCCGUUUAUUUUAAAUGGAAAGGGGCACGCCCGGUUCAAAAAAAAAAGACACAAAAACCUCGUAUUCUGUUCUCACUUCAAAAAACCUCGUAUUCAAGCUAAAAAAACUCGUAUUCUCUCCGUAACGCGCUGCAGUAAAGCUAGAGGGGGAAAUGACGUCAAUAUCACUAUUUUGGCUCCAACACACACACACACACAAAAGUAUAGGUUAGGCUAGUCAUAGUGGGAGUAACUUAGCUAGUAACAUAGCCCAUUCCAAGAAAAUUUUGCUUAUGUGGCACGUAGUUAAUGAGAAGUGGUAACUGAAGGAAAUAUGCCCUAGAGGCAAUAAUAAAGUUAUUAUUUAUUUCCUUAUAUCAUGAUAAAUGUUUAUUAUUCAUGCUAGAAUUGUAUUAACCGGAAACAUAAUACAUGUGUGAAUACAUAGACAAACAGAGCGUCACUAGUAUGCCUCUACUUGACUAGCUCGUUGAUCAAAGAUGGUUAUGUUUCCUAGCCAUAGACAUGAGUUGUCAUUUGAUUAACGGGAUCACAUCAUUAGGAGAAUGAUGUGAUUGACUUGACCCAUUCCGUUAGCUUAGCACUCGAUCGUUUAGUAUGUUGCUAUUGCUUUCUUAAUGACUUAUACAUGUUCCUAUGACUAUGAGAACACUUUGUGUGCUACCAAACGUCACAACGUAACUGGGUGAUUAUAAAGGUGCUCUACAGGUGUCUCCAAAGGUACUUGUUGGGUUGGCGUAUUUCGAGAUUAGGAUUUGUCACUCCGAUUGUCGGAGAGGUAUCUCUGGGCCCACUCAGUAAUAUGAAGGAAAUAUGCCCUAGAGGCAAUAAUAAAGUUAUUAUUUAUUUCCUUAUAUCAUGAUAAAUGUUUAUUAUUCAUGCUAGAAUUAUAUCAACCGGAAAUUUGAUACAUGUGUGAAUACAUAGACAAACAGAGUGUCACUAGUAUGCCUCUACUUGACUAGCUCGUUGAUCAAAGAUGGUUAUGUUUCCUAGCCAUAGACAUGAGUUGUCAUUUGAUUAACGAGAUCACAUCAUUAGGAGAAUGAUGUGAUUGACUUGACCCAUUCUGUUAGCUUAGCACUCGAUCGUUUAGUAUGUUGCUAUUGCUUUCUUCAUGACUUAUACAUGUUCCUAUUCCUAUGAGAUUAUGCAACUCCCGUUUACCGGAGGAACACUUUCUGUGCUACCAAACAUCACAACAUAACUGGGUGAUUAUAAAGGUGCUCUACAGGUGCUUCCAAAGGUACUUGUUGGGUUGGCGUAUUUCGAGAUUAGGAUUUGUCACUCCGAUCGUCGGAGAGGUAUCUCUGGGCCCACUCAGUAAUACACAUCACUAUAAGCCUUGCAAGCAUUGUAACUAAUGAGUUAGUUGCGGGAUGAUGUAUUACGGAACGAGUAAAGAGACUUGCCGGUAACUAGAUUGAACUAGGUAUCGAGAUACCGACGAUCGAAUCUCGGGCAAGUAACAUACCGAUGACAAAGGGAACAACGUAUGUUGUUAUGCGGUCUGACCGAUAAAGAUCUUCGUAGAAUAUGUGGGAGUCAAUAUGAGCAUCCAGGUUCCGCUAUUGGUUAUUGACCGGAGAGGUGUCUCGGUCAUGUCUACAUAGUUCUCGAACCCGUAGGGUCCGCACGCUUAACGUUACGAUGACGGUUAUAUUAUGAGUUUACGUGUUUUGAUGUACCGAAGGAGUUCAGAGUCCCGGAUGAGAUCGGGGACAUGACGAGGAGUCUCGAAAUGGCCGAGACGUAAAGAUUGAUAUAUUGGACGACUAUAUUCGGACUUCGGAAAGGUUCCGAGUGAUUCGGGUAUUUUUCGGAGUACCGGAGAGUUACGAGAAUUCGUAUUGGGCCUUAAUGGGCCAUACGGGAAAGGAGAGAAAGGCCCCAAAGGGUGGCCGAACCCCUCCCCAUGGACUAGUUCGAAUUGGACUAGGGAGGGGGGCGCCCCCUUCCUUCUUUCUCCUUCUCCCUUCCCUUCUCCUAUUCCAACAAGGAAAGGAGGAGUCCUACUCCCGGUGGGAGUAGGACUCCCCCCUUGGCGCGCCCUCCUCCUUGGCCGGCGGCCUCCCCCUUGCUCCUUUAUAUACGGGGGCAGGGGGGCACCUCUAGACACACAAUUGAUCAACGAUCUUUUAGCCGAGUGCGGUGCCCCCUCCACCAUAUUACACCUCGAUAAUAUCGUAGCGGUGCUUAGGCGAAGCCCUGCGUCGGUAGAACAUCAUCAUCGUCACCACGCCGUCGUGCUGACAAAACUCUCCCUCAACACUCGGCUGGAUCGGAGUUCGAGGGACGUCAUCGAGCUGAACGUGUGCUGAACUCGGAGGUGCCGUGCGUUCGGUACUUGAUCGGUCGGAUCGUGAAGACGUACGACUACAUCAACCGCGUUGUGUUAACGCUUCCGCUUUCGGUCUACGAGGGUACGUGGACAACACUCUCCCCUCUCGUUGCUAUGCAUCACCAUGAUCUUGCGUGUGCGUAGGAGUUUUUUUUGAAAUUACUACGUUCCCCAACAGUAGCAUCCGAGCCUGGUUUUAUGCGUAGAUGUCAUAUGCACGAGUAGAACACAAGUGAGUUGUGGGCGAUAUAAGUCAUACUGCUUACCAGCAUGUCAUACUUUGGUUCGGCGGUAUUGUGAGAUGAAGCGGCCCGGACCGACAUUACGCGUACGCUUACGCGAGACUGGUUUCACCGUUGUGAGCACUCGUUGCUUAAAGGUGACUGGCGGGUGUCUGUCUCUCUCAAUUUAGUUGAACCAAGUGUGGCUACGCCCGGUCCUUGCGAAGGUUAAAACAGCACCAACUUGACAAACUAUCGUUGUGGUUUUGAUGCGUAGGUAAGAACGGUUCUUGCUAAGCCCGUAGCAGCCACGUAAAACUUGCAACAACAAAGUAGAGGACGUUUAACUUGUUUUUGCAGGGCAUGUUGUGAUGUGAUAUGGUCAAGACAUGAUGCUAUGUUUUAUUGUAUGAGAUGAUCAUGUUUUGUAACCGAGUUAUCGGCAACUAGCAGGAGCCAUAUGGUUGUCGCUUUAUUAUAUGAAAUGCAAUCGCCAUGUAAUUGUUUUACUUUAUCACUAAGCGGUAGCGAUAGUCGUAAAAGCAAUAGUUGGCGAGACGACAACGAUGCUACGAUGGAGAUCAAAGUGUCGCGCCGGUGACGAUGGUGAUCAUGACGGUGCUUCGGAGAUGGAGAUCACAAGCACAAGAUGAUGAUGGCCAUAUCAUAUCACUUAUAUUGAUUGCAUGUGAUGUUUAUCUUUUAUGCAUCUUAUCUUGCUUUGAUUGACGGUAACAUUAUAAGAUGAUCUCUCACUAAAAUUUCAAGAUAAAAGUGUUCUCCCUGAGUAUGCACCGUUGCAAAAGUUCUUCGUGCUGAGACACCACGUGAUGAUCGGGUGUGAUAGGCUCUACGUUCAAAUACAACGGGUGCAAAAUAGUUGCACACGCGGAAUACUCAGGUUAAACUUGACGAGCCUAGCAUAUGCAGAUAUGGCCUCGGAACACGGAGACUGAAAGGUCGAGCGUGAAUCAUAUAGUAGAUAUGAUCAACAUAGUGAUGUUCACCAUUGAAACUACUCCAUCUCACGUGAUGAUCGGGCAUGGUUUAGUUGAUAUGGAUCACGUGAUCAUUUAGAGGAUUAGAGGGAUGUCUAUCUAAGUGGGAGUUCUUAAGUAAUAUGAUUAAUUGAACUUAAAUUUAUCAUGAACUUAGUCCUGAUAGUAUUUUGCAAAUUAUGUUGUAGAUCAAUAGCUCGCGUUGUUGUUUCCCUGUGUUUAUUUUUGAUGUGUUCCUAGAGAAAAAUUAUGUUGAAAGAUGUUAGUAGCAAAGAUGCGGAUUGGAUCCGUGAUCUGAGGAUUAUCCUCAUUGCUGCACAGAAGAAUUGUGUCCUUGAUGCACCGCUAGGUGACAGACCUAUUGCAGGAGCAGAUGCAGACGUUAUGAACGUUUGGCUAGCUCAAUAUGAUGACUACUUGAUAGUUUAGUGCACCAUGCUUAACGGCUUAGAAUCGGGACUUCAAAGACGUUUUGAACGUCAUGGACCAUAUGAGAUGUUCCAGGAGUUGAAGUUAAUAUUUCAAGCAAAUACCCGAGUUGAGAGAUAUGAAGUCUCUAACAAGUUCUAUAGCUAAAAGAUGGAGGAGAAUAGCUCAAGCAGUGAGCAUGUGCUCAGAUUGUCUGGGUACUACAAUCGCUUGAAUCAAGUGGGAGUUAAUCUUCCAGAUAAAAUAGUGAUUGACAGAAUUCUCUAGUCACCAUCACCAAGUUAGUAGAACUUCGUGAUGAACUAUAGUAUGCAAGGGAUGACGAAAGUAAUUCCCGAGCUCUUCGUGAUGCUGAAAUCGACAAAGGUAGAAAUCAAGAAAAACAUCAAGUGUUGAUGGUUGACGAGACCACUAGUUUCAAGAAAAGGGCAAAGGGAAGAAGGGGAACUUCAAGAUGAACGACAAGCAAGUUGCUGCUCAAGUGAAGAAGCCUAAGUCUGGUCCUAAGCCUGAGACUAAGUGCUUCUACUGCAAAGGGACUGGUCACUGGAAGCGGAACUACCCCAACUAUUUGGUGGAUAAGAAGGAUGGCAAAGUGAACAAAGGUAUAUUGGAUAUACAUGUUAUUGAUGUGUACUUUACUAGUGUUUAUAGAAACCCCUCGGUAUUUGAUACUGGUUCAGUUGCUAAGAGUAGUAACUCGAAACGGGAGUUGCAGAAUAAACAGAGACUAGUAAAAGGCGAGGUAACGAUGUGUGUUGGAAGUAGUUCCAAGAUUGAUAUGAUCAUCAUCGCACACUCCCUAUACUUUCGGGAUUAGUGUUGAAACUAAAUAAGUGUUAUUUGGUGUUUGCGUUGAGCAUGAGUAUGAUUUGAUCAUGUUUGUUGCAAUACGGUUAUUCAUUUAAAUUAGAGAAUAAUUGUUGUUCUGUUUACAUGAAUAAAACCUUCUAUGGUCAUACACCCAAUAAAAUGGUUUAUUGGAUCUCGAUCGUAGUGAUACACAUAUUCAUAAUAAUGAAGCCAAAAGAUGCAAAGUUAAUAAUGAUAGUGCAACUUAUUUGUGGCACUGCCGUUUAGGUCAUAUUGGUGUAAAGCGCAUGAAGAAACUCCAUACUGAGGGGAUUUUGGAAUCACUUGAUUAUGAAUCACUUGAUGCUUGCGAACCGUGCCUCAUGGGCAAGAUGACUAAAACGCCGUUCUCCGGAACUAUGGAGAGAGCAACAGAUUUGUUGGAAAUCAUACAUACAGAUGUAUGUGGUCCGAUGAAUAUUGAGGCUCGUAGCAGGUAUCAUUAUUUUCUGACCUUCACAGAUGAUUUGAGCAGAUAUGGGUAUAUCUACUUAAUGAAACAUAAGUCUGAAACAUUUGAAGGUUCAAAGAAUUUCAGAGUGAAGUGGAAAAUCAUCGUGACAAGAAAAUAAGGUUUCUACGAUCUGAUCGCGGAGACAAAUAUUUGAGUUACGAGUUUGGUCUUCAAUUAAAACAAUGUGGAAUAGUUUCACAAAUUCAUGCCACCUGGAACACCACAGCAUAAUGGUGUGUCCGAACGUCAUAACCGUACUUUAUUGGAUAUAGUGCAAUCUAUGAUGUUUCUUACCAAUUUACCACUAUAGUUUUGGGGUUAUGCAUUAGAGACAGCUGCAUUCACGUUAAAUAGGGUACCAUCUAAAUCCGUUGAGACGACAUCUUAUGAACUGUGGUUUGGCAAGAAACCAAAGUUGUCGUUUCUUAAAGUUUGGGGUUGCGAUGCUUAUGUGAAAAAGUUUCAUCCUGAUAAGCUCAAACCCAAAUCGGAGAAAUGUGUCUUCAUAGGAUACCCAAAGGAGACAGUUGGGUACACCUUCUAUCACAGAUCCGAAGGCAAGACAUUCGUUGCUAAGAAUGGAUCCUUUCUAGAGAAGAAGUUUCUCUCGAAAGAAGUGAGUGGGAGGAAAGUAGAACUUGAUGAGGUAAUUGUACCUGCUCCCUUAUUGGAAAGUAGUUCAUCGCAGAAACCAGUUUCUGUGACGCCUAUACCAAUUAGUGAGGAAGUUAAUGAUGAUGAUCAUGGAACUUCAGAUCAAGUUAUUACUGAACCUCGUAGGUCAACCAGAGUAAGAUCCGCACCAGAGUGGUACGGUAAUCCUGUUCUGGAGGUUAUGUUACUAGACCAUGACGAACCUACGAACUAUGAAGAAGCGAUGGUGAGCCCAGAUUCUGCAAAAUGGCUUGAGGCCAUGAAAUCUAAGAUGAGAUCCAUGUAUGAGAACAAAGUAUGGACUUUGAUUGACUUGCCCAAUGAUCGACGAGCCAUUGAGAUUAAAUGGAUCUUCAAGAGGAAGACGGACGCUGAUAGUAGUGUUACUAUCUACAAAGCUAGAAUUGUCGCAAAAAGGUUUUCAACAAGUUCAAGGUGUUGACUACGAUGAGAGUUUCUCACUCGUAUCUAUGCUUAAGUCUGUCCGAAUCAUGUUAGCAAUUGCCGCAUUUUAUGAAAUCUGGCAAAUGGAUAAACAAAACUGAAUUCCUUAAUGGAUUUAUUAAAGAAGAGUUGUAUAUGAUGCAACCAGGAGGUUUUGUCAAUCCUAAAAGUGCUACCAAAAUAUGCAAGCUCCAGCGAUCCAUCUAUGGACUGGUGCAAGCAUCUCGGAGUUGGAAUAUACGCUUUGAUAAGUUGAUCAAAGGAUAUAGUUUUAUACAGACUUGCGGUGAAGCCUGUAUUUACAAGAAAGUCAGUGGGAGCACUACAACAUUUCUGAUAAGUAUAUGUGAAUGACAUAUUGUUGAUCGGAAAUAAUGUAGAAUUAUUCUGCAAAGCAUAAAGGAGUGUUUGAAAGGAGUUUUUCAAAGAAAGACCUCGGUGAAGCUGCUUACAUAUUGAGCAUCAAGAUCUAUAGAGAUAGAUCAAGACGCUUGAUAAGUUUUUUCAAUGAGUACAUACCUUAACAAGAUUUUGAAGUGGUUCAAAAUGGAACAGUCAAAGAAAGAGUUUCUUGCCUAUGUUACAUGGUGUGAAAUUGAGUAAGACUCAAAGCCCGACCACUGCAGAAGAUAGAAAAAGAAUGAAAGUCAUUCCCUAUGCCUCGGACAUAGGUUCUAUAAAGUAUGCCAUGCUGUGUACCAGAUCUAUUGUAUACCCUACACUGAUUUUGGCAAGGGAGUACAAUAGUGAUCUAGGAGUAGAUCACUGGACAGCGGUCAAAAUUAUCCUUAGUGGAAUAAGGAUAUGUUUCUCGAUUAUGGAAGUGACAAAAAGGUUCGUCGUAAAGGGUUACGUCGAUGCAAGUUUUGACACUAAUCUAGAUGACUCUAAGUCUCAGUCUAGAUACAUAUUGAAAGUGGGAGCAAUUAGCUAGAGUAGCUCCGUGCAGAGCAUUGUAAACAUAGAAAUUUGCAAAAAUACUUACGGAUCUGAAUGUGACAGACCCGUUGACUAAAAUUAUCUCACAAGCAAAACAUGAUCACACCUUAGUACUCUUUGGGUGUUAAUCACAUAGCGAUGUGAAUUAGAUUACUGACUCUAGUAAACCCUUUGGGUGUUGGUCACAUGACGUUGUGAACUAUGGGUGUUAAUCACAUGGUGAUGUGAACUAUUGAUGUUAAAUCACAUGGCGAUGUGAACUAGAUUAUUGACUCUAGUGCAAGUGGGAGACUGAAGGAAAUAUGCCAUAGAGGCAAUAAUAAAGUUAAUAUUUACUUCCUUAUAUCAUGAUAAAUAUUUAUUAUUCAUGCUAGAAUUGUAUCAACCGGAAACUUGAUACAUGUGUGAAUACAUAGACAAACAGAGUGUCACUAGUAUGCCUCUACUUGACUAGCUCGUUGAUCAAAGAUGGUUAUGUUUCCUAGCCAUAGACAUGAGUUGUCAUUUGAUUAACGGGAUCACAUCAUUAGGAGAAUGAUGUGAUUGACUUGACCCAUUCCGUUAGCUUAGCACUCGAUCGUUUAGUAUGUUGCUAUUGCUUUCUUCAUGACUUAUACAUGUUCCUAUGACUAUGAGAUUAUGCAACUCCCGUUUACCGGAGGAACACUUUGUAUGCUACCAAACGUCACAACAUAACUGGGUGAUUAUAAAGGUGCUCUACAGGUGCUUCCAAAGGUACUUGUUGGGUUGGCGUAUUUCGAGAUUAGAAUUUUUCACUCCGAUUGUCGGAGAGGUAUCUCCGGGCCCACUCAGUAAUACACAUCACUAUAAGCCUUGCAAGCAUUGUAACUAAUGAGUUAGUUGCGGGAUGAUGUAUUACGGAACGAGUAAAGAGACUUGCCGGUAACGAGAUUGAACUAGGUAUCGAGAUACCGACGAUCGAAUCUCGGGCAAGUAACAUACUGAUGACAAAGGGAACAACGUAUGUUGUUAUGCGGUCUGACCGAUAAAGAUCUUCGUAGAAUAUGUGGGAGCCAAUAUGAGCAUCCAGGUUCCUCUAUUGGUUAUUGACCGGAGAGGUGUCUCGGUCAUGUCUACAUAGUUCUCGAACCCGUAGGGUCCGCACGCUUAACGUUACGAUGACGGUUAUAUUCUGAGUUUAUGUGUUUUGAUGUACCGAAGGAGUUCGGAGUCCCGGAUGAGAUCGGGGACAUGACGAGGAGUCUCGAAAUGGCCGAGACGUAAAGAUCGAUAUAUUGGACGACUAUAUUCGGACUUCGAAAAGGUUCCGAGUGAUUCGGGUAUUUUUCGGAGUACCGGAGAGUUACGAGAAUUCGUAUUGGGCCUUAAUGGGCCAUACGGGAAAGGAGAGAAAGGCCCCAAAGGGUGGCCGCACCCCUCCCCAUGGACUAGUCCGAAUUGGACUAGGGAGGGGGGCGCCCCCUUCCUUCUUUCUCCUUCUCCCUUCCCUUCUCCUAUUCCAACAAGGAAAGGAGGAGUCCUACUCCCGGUGGGAGUAGGACUCCCCCCUUGGCGCGCCCUCCUCCUUGGCCGGCGGCCUCCCCCUUGCUCCUUUAUAUACGGGGGCAGGGGGGCACCUCUAGAAACACAAUUGAUCAACGAUCUUUUAGCCGUGUGCGGUGCCCCCUCCACCAUAUUACACCUCGAUAAUAUCAUAGCGGUGCUUAGGCGAAGCCCUGCGUCGGUAGAACAUCAUCAUCGUCACCACGCCGUCGUGCUGACGAAAAUCUCCCUCAACACUCGGCUGGAUCGGAGUUCGAGGGACGUCAUCGAGCUGAACGUGUGCUGAACUCGGAGGUGCCGUGCGUUCGGUACUUGAUCGGUCGGAUCGUGAAGACGUACGACUACAUCAACCGCGUUGUGUUAACGCUUUCGGUUUCGGUCUACGAGGGUACGUGGACAACACUCUUCCCUCUCCUUGCUAUGCAUCACCAUGAUCUUGCGUGUGCAUAGGAAUUUUUUUGAAAUUACUAUGUUCCCCAACAUAAUACACAUCACUAUAAGCCUUGCAAGCAUUGUGACUAAUGAGUUAGUUGCGGGAUGAUGUAUUACGGAACGAGUAAAGAGACUUGCCGGUAAACGAGAUUGAACUAGGUAUCGAGAUACCGACGAUCGAAUCUCGGGCAAGUAACAUACCGAUGACAAAGGGAACAACGUAUGUUGUUAUGCGGUCUGACCGAUAAAGAUCUUCGUAGAAUAUGUGGGAACCAAUAUGAGCAUCCAGGUUCCGCUAUUGGUUAUUGACCGGAGAGGUGUCUCGGUCAUGUCUACAUAGUUCUCGAACCCGUAGGGUCCGCACGCUUAACGUUACGAUGACAGUUAUAUUAUGAGUUUAUAUGUUUUGAUGUACCGAAGGUUGUUCGGAGUCCCGGAUGUGAUCACGGACAUGACGAGGAGUCUCGAAAUGGUCGAGACAUAAAGAUUGAUAUAUUGGAAGCCUAUGUUUGGACAUCGGAAGUGUUCCGGGUGAAAUCGGGAUUUUUCCGGAGUGCCGGGAGGUUACCGGAACCCCCCGGUAACUUAAUGGGCCUUAGUGGGCCUAGGUGGAAGGGAGGAGAGGAGGCCAGGGCAGGGCCGCGCGCCCCUUCCCCCCAGUCCGAAUAGGACAAGGAGAGGGGGGCGGCGCCCCCCCUUCCUUCCUCCCCUCCACCUCUUGCCCCUCUCUCCUAGUCCAACAUGGAAAAAGGGGGGGAGUCCUACUCCCGGUAGGAGUAGGACUCCUCCUAGGCGCGCCUCUCCUCCUUGGCCGGCGGCCUCCCCCUUGCUCCUUUAUAUACGGGGGCAGGGGGCACCUCUCGACACACAAUUGAUCAACGAUCUUUUAGCCGUGUGCGGUGCCCCCCUCCACCAUAUUACACCUCAAUAAUAUCGUAGCGGUGCUUAGGCGAAACCCUGCGUCGGUAGAACAUCAUCAUCGUCACCACGCCGUCGUGCUGACGAAACUCUCCUUCAACACUCGGCUGGAUCGGAGUUCGAGGGACGUCAUCGAGCUGAACGUGUGCUGAACUCGGAGGUGCCGUGCGUUCGGUACUUGAUCGGUCGGAUCGUGAAGACGUACGACUACAUCAACCGCGUUGUGUUAAACGCUUCCGCUAUCGGUCUACGAGGGUACGUAGACAACACUCUCCCCUCUCGUUGCUAUACAUCACCAUGAUCUUGCGUGUGCGUAGGUAAUUUUUUGAAAUUAGUACGUUCCCCAACAGUGGCAUCCGAGCCUGGUUUUAUGCGUUGAUGUUAUAUGCACGAGUAGAACACAAGUGAGUUGUGGGCGAUAUAAGUCAUACUGCUUACCAGCAUGUCAUACUUUGGUUCGGUGGUAUUGUGAGAUGAAGCGGCCCGGACCGACAUUACGCGUACGCUUACGCGAGACUGGUUUCACCGUUGCGAGCACUCGUUGCUUAAAGGUGACUGGCGGGUGUCUGUCUCUCUCACUUUAGUUGAACCGAGUGUGGCUACGCCCGGUCCUUGCGAAGGUUAAAACAGCACCAACUUGACAAACUAUCGUUGUGGUUUUGAUGCAUAGGUAAGAACGGUUCUUGCUAAGCCCGUAGCAGCCACGUAAAACUUGCAACAACAAAGUAGAGGACGUUUAACUUGUUUUUGCAGGGCAUGUUGUGAUGUGAUAUGGUCAAGACAUGAUGCUAUGUUUUAUUGUAUGAGAUGAUCAUGUUUUGUAACCGAGUUAUCGGCAACUAGCAGGAGCCAUAUGGUUGUCGCUUUAUUGUAUGAAAUGCAAUCGCCAUGUAAUUGUUUUACUUUAUCACUAAGCGGUAGCGAUAGUCGUAAAAGCAAUAGUUGGCGAGACGACAACGAUACUACGAUGGAGAUCAAGGUGUCGCGCCGGUGACGAUGGUGAUCAUGACGGUGCUUCGGAGAUGGAGAUCACAAGCACAAGAUGAUGAUGGCCAUAUCAUAUCACUUAUAUUGAUUGCAUGUGAUGUUUAUCUUUUAUGCAUCUUAUCUUGCUUUGAUUGACGGUAGCAUUAUAAGAUGAUCUUUCACUAAAAUUUCAAGAUAAAAGUGUUCUCCCUGAGUAUGCACCGUUGCGAAAGUUCUUCGUGCUGAGACACCAUGUGAUGAUCGGGUGUGAUAGGCUCUACGUUCAAAUACAACGGGUGCAAAACAGUUGCACACGCGGAAUACUCAGGUUAAACUUGACGAGCCUAGCAUAUGCAGAUAUGGCCUCGGAACACGGAGACCGAAAGGUCGAGCAUGAAUCAUAUAGUAGAUAUGAUCAACAUAGUGAUGUUCACCAUGGAAACUACUCCAUCUCACGUGAUGACCGGACAUGGUUUAGUUGAUAUGGAUCACGUGAUCACUUAGAGGAUUAGAGGGAUGUCUAUCUAAGUGGGAGUUCUUAAGUAAUAUGAUUAAUUGAACUUGAAUUUAUCAUGAACUUAGUACCUGAUAGUAUCUUGCUUGUCUAUGUUAAUUGUAGAUAAAUGGCCCGUGCUGUUGUUCCGUUGAGUUUUAAUGCGUUCCUUGAGAAAGCAAAGUUGAAAGAUGAUGGUAGCAAUUACACGGACUGGGUCCGUAACUUGAGGAUUAUCCUCAUUGCUGCACAGAAGAAUUACGUCCUGGAAGCACCGCUGCGUGCCAGGCCGCCUGCAAGAGCAACACCAGAAGUUAUGAACGUCUGGCAGAGCAAAGCUGAUGACUACUCGAUAGUUCAGUGUGCCAUGCUUUACGGCUUAGAACCGGGUCUUCAACGACGUUUUGAACGUCAUGGAGCAUAUGAGAUGUUCCAGGAGUUGAAGUUAAUAUUUCAAGAAAAUGCCCGGAUUGAGAGAUAUGAAGUCUCCAAUAAGUUCUACAGCUGCAAGAUGGAAGAGAAUAGUUCUGUCAGUGAGCAUAUACUCAAAAUGUCUGGGUAUAAUAAUCACUUGAUUCAACUGGGAGUUAAUCUUCCGGAUGAUAGCGUCAUUGACAGAAUUCUUCAAUCACUGCCACCAAGCUACAAGAGCUUCGUGAUGAACUAUAACAUGCAAGGGAUGAAUAAGACAAUUCCUGAGCUCUUCGCAAUGCUAAAGGCAGCGGAGGUAGAAAUCAAAAAGGAGCAUCAAGUGUUGAUGGUCAAUAAGACCACUAGUUUCAAGAAAAAGGGCAAAGGGAAGAAGAAGGGGAACUUCAAGAAGAACAGCAAGCAAGUUGUUGUUCAGGAGAAGAAACCCAAGUCUGGACCUAAGCCUGAAACUGAGUGCUUCUACUGCAAGCAGACUGGUCACUGGAAGCGGAACUGCCCCAAGUAUUUGGUGGAUAAGAAGGAUGGCAAGGUUAACAAAGGUAUAUGUGAUAUACAUGUUAUUGAUGUGUACCUUACAAAUACUCGCAGUAGCACCUGGGUAUUUGAUACUGGUUCUGUUGCUAAUAUUUGCAACUCGAAACAGGGGCUACGGAUUAAGCGAAGAUUGGCUAAGGAUGAGGUGACGAUGCGCGUGGGAAAUGGUUCCAAAGUCGAUGUGAUCGCGGUCGGCACGCUACCUCUACAUCUACCUUCGGGAUUUGUUUUAGACCUAAAUAAUUGUUAUUUGGUGCCAGCGUUAAGCAUGAACAUUAUAUCUGGAUCUUGUUUGAUGCGAGACGGUUAUUCAUUGAAAUCAGAGAAUAAUGGUUGUUCUAUUUAUAUGAAUAAUAUCUUUUAUGGUCAUGCACCCUUGAAGAGUGGUCUAUUUUUGUUGAAUCUCGAUAGUAGUGAUACACAUAUUCAUAAUAUUGAAGCCAAAAGAUGCAGAGUUGAUAAUGAUAGUGCAACUUAUUUGUGGCACUGCCGUUUAGGUCAUAUCUGUGUAAAGCGCAUGAAGAAACUCCAUAAUGAUGGACUUUUGGAAUCACUUAAUUAUGAAUCACUUCGUACUUGCGAACCGUGUCUCAUGGGCAAGAUGACUAAAACACCGUUCUCCGGAACUAUGGAGAGAGCAACUGAUUUGUUGGAAAUCAUACAUACAGAUGUAUGUGGUCCGAUGAAUAUUGAGGCUCGUGGUGGAUAUCGUUAUUUUCUCACCUUCACAGAUGAUUUGAGCAGAUAUGGGUAUAUCUACUUAAUGAAACAUAAGUCUGAAACAUUUGAAAAGUUCAAAGAAUUUCAGAGCGAAGUUGAAAAUCAUCGUAACAAGAAAAUAAAGUUUCUACGAUCAGAUCGUGGAGGAGAAUAUUUGAGUUACGAGUUUGGCCUACAUUUGAAACAAUGCGGAAUAGUUUCGCAACUCACGCCACCCGGAACACCACAACGUAAUGGUGUGUCCGAACGUCGUCAUCGUACUUUACUAGAUAUGGUGCGAUCUAUGAUGUCUCUUACUGAUUUACCGCUAUCGUUUUGGGGUUAUGCUUUAGAGACGGCUGCAUUCACUCUAAAUAGGACACCAUCGAAAUCCGUUGAAACGACGCCUUAUGAACUAUGGUUUGGCAAGAAACCAAAGUUGUCGUAUCUUAAAGUUUGGGGUUGCGAUGCUUAUGUGAAGAAACUUCAACCUGAUAAGCUCGAACCUAAAUCGGAGAAAUGUGUCUUCAUAGGAUACCCAAAGGAGACUAUUGGGUACACCUUCUAUCACAGAUCCGAAGGCAAAACAUUCGUUGCUAAGAAUGGAUCCUUUCUAGAGAAGGAGUUUCUCUCGAAAGAAGUGAGUGGGAGGAAAGUAGAACUUGAUGAGGUAACUGUACCUGCUCCCUUAUUGGAAAGUAGAUCAUCACAGAAAUCAGUUUCUGCGACACCUACACCAAUUAGUGAGGAAGUUAAUGAUAAUGAUCAUGAAACUUCAGAUCAAGUUAUUACUGAACCUCAUAGGUCAACCAGAUUAAGAUCCGCACCAGAGUGGUACGGUAAUCCUGUUCUGGAGGUUAUGUUGCUAGACCAUGACGAACCUACGAACUAUGAAGAAGCGAUGGUGAGCCCAGAUUCCACAAAAUGGCUUGAGGCCAUGAAAUCCGAGAUGGGAUCCAUGUAUGAGAACAAAGUAUGGACUUUGGUUGACUUGCCCGAUGAUCGGCAAGCCAUUGAAAAUAAAUGGAUCUUCAAGAAGAAGACUGACGCUGACGGUAAUGUUACCGUCUAUAAAGCUCGACUUGGUGCGAAAGGUUUUCGACAAGUUCAAGGGAUUGACUACGAUGAGACCUUCUCACCCGUAGCGAUGCUUAAGUCUGUCCGAAUCAUGUUAGCAAUUGCCGCAUUUUAUGAUUAUGAAAUUUGGCAAAUGGAUGUCAAAACUGCAUUCCUGAAUGGAUUUCUGGAAGAAGAGUUGUAUAUGAUGCAACUGGAAGGUUUUGUCGAUCCAAAGGGAGCUAACAAAGUGUGCAAGCUCCAGCGAUCCAUUUAUGGACUGGUGCAAGCCUCUCGGAGUUGGAAUAAACGCUUUGAUAGUGUGAUCAAAGCAUUUGGUUUUAUACAGACUUUUGGAGAAGCCUGUAUUUACAAGAAAGUGAGUGGGAGCUCUGUAGCAUUUCUGAUAUUAUAUGUGGAUGACAUAUUGCUAAUUGGAAAUGAUAUAGAAUUUCUGGAUAGCAUAAAGGGAUACUUGAAUAAGAGUUUUUCAAUGAAAGACCUCGGUGAAGCUGCAUAUAUAUUGGGCAUCAAGAUCUAUAGAGAUAGAUCAAGACGCUUAAUUGGACUGUCACAAAGCACAUACCUUGACAAAGUUUUGAAGAAGUUCAAAAUGGAUCAAGCAAAGAAAGGGUUCUUGCCUGUAUUACAAGGUGUGAGAUUGAGUAAGACUCAAUGCCCGACCACUGCAGAAGAUAGAGAGAAGAUGAAAGAUGUUCCCUAUGCUUCAGCCAUAGGCUCUAUCAUGUAUGCAAUGCUGUGUACCAGACCUGAUGUGUGCCUUGCUAUAAGUUUAGCAGGGAGGUACCAAAGUAAUCCAGGAGUGGAUCACUGGACAGCGGUCAAGAACAUCCUGAAAUACCUGAAAAGGACUAAGGAUAUUUUUCUCGUUUAUGGAGGUGACAAAGAGCUCAUCAUAAAUGGUUACGUUGAUGCAAGCUUUGACACUGAUCCGGACGAUUCUAAAUCGCAAACCGGAUACGUAUUUACAUUGAACGGUGGAGCUGUCAGUUGGUGCAGUUCUAAGCAAAGUGUCGUGGCGGGAUCUACGUGUGAAGCGGAGUACAUAGCUGCUUCGGAAGCAGAAAAUGAAGGAGUCUGGAUGAAGGAGUUCAUAUCCGAUCUAGGUGUCAUACCUAGUGCAUCGCGACCAAUGAAAAUCUUUUGUGACAAUACUGGUGCAAUUGCCUUAGCAAAGGAAUCCAGAUUUCACAAGAGAACCAAGCACAUCAAAAGACGCUUCAAUUCCAUCCGGGAUUUAGUCCAGGUGGGAGACAUAGAAAUUUGCAAGAUACAUACGGAUCUGAAUGUUGCAGACCCGUUGACUAAGCCUCUUCCACGAGCAAAACAUGAUCAGCACCAAGACUCCAUGGGUGUAAGAAUCAUUACUGUGUAAUCUAGAUUAUUGACUCUAGUGCAAGUGGGAGACUGAAGGAAAUAUGCCCUAGAGGCAAUAAUAAAGUUAUUAUUUAUUUCCUUAUAUCAUGAUAAAUGUUUAUUAUUCAUGCUAGAAUUGUAUUAACCAGAAACAUAAUACAUGUGUGAAUACAUAGACAAACAGAGUGUCACUAGUAUGCCUCUACUUGACUAGCUCNNNNNNNNNNNNNNNNNNNNNNNNNNNNNNNNNNNNNNNNNNNNNNNNNNNNNNNNNNNNNNNNNNNNNNNNNNNNNNNNNNNNNNNNNNNNNNNNNNNNNNNNNNNNNNNNNNNNNNNNNNNNNNNNNNNNNNNNNNNNNNNNNNNNNNNNNNNNNNNNNNNNNNNNNNNNNNNNNNNNNNNNNNNNNNNNNNNNNNNNNNNNNNNNNNNNNNNNNNNNNNNNNNNNNNNNNNNNNNNNNNNNNNNNNNNNNNNNNNNNNNNNNNNNNNNNNNNUAAUACACAUCACUAUAAGCCUUGCAAGCAUUGUGACUAAUGAGUUAGUUGCGGGAUGAUGUAUUACGGAACGAGUAAAGAGACUUGCCGGUAAACGAGAUUGAACUAGGUAUCGAGAUACCGACGAUCGAAUCUCGGGCAAGUAACAUACCGAUGACAAAGGGAACAACGUAUGUUGUUAUGCGGUCUGACCGAUAAAGAUCUUCGUAGAAUAUGUGGGAACCAAUAUGAGCAUCCAGGUUCCGCUAUUGGUUAUUGACCGGAGAGGUGUCUCGGUCAUGUCUACAUAGUUCUCGAACCCGUAGGGUCCGCACGCUUAACGUUACGAUGACAGUUAUAUUAUGAGUUUAUAUGUUUUGAUGUACCGAAGGUUGUUCGGAGUCCCGGAUGUGAUCACGGACAUGACGAGGAGUCUCGAAAUGGUCGAGACAUAAAGAUUGAUAUAUUGGAAGCCUAUGUUUGGACAUCGGAAGUGUUUCGGGUGAAAUCGGGAUUUUUUCGGAGUGCCGGGAGGUUACCGGAACCCCCCGGUAACUUAAUGGGCCUUAGUGGGCCUAGGUGGAAGGGAGGAGAGGAGGCCAGGGCAGGGCCGCGCGCCCCUUCCCCCCAGUCCGAAUAGGACAAGGAGAGGGGGGCGGCGCCCCCCUUCCUUCCUCCCCUCCACCUCUUGCCCCUCUCUCCUAGUCCAACAUGGAAAAAGGGGGGGGGGAGUCCUACUCCCGGUAGGAGUAGGACUCCUCCUAGGCGCGCCUCUCCUCCUUGGCCGGCGGCCUCCCCCUUGCUCCUUUAUAUACGGGGGCAGGGGGCACCUCUCGACACACAAUUGAUCAACGAUCUUUUAGCCGUGUGCGGUGCCCCCCUCCACCAUAUUACACCUCGAUAAUAUUGUAGCGGUGCUUAGGCGAAGCCCUGCGUUGGUAGAACAUCAUCAUCGUCACCACGCCGUCGUGCUGACGAAACUCUCCUUCAACACUCGGCUGGAUCAGAGUUCGAGGGACAUCAUCGAGCUGAACAUGUGCUGAACUCGGAGGUGCCGUGCGUUCGGUACUUGAUCGGUCGGAUCGUGAAGACGUACGACUACAUCAACCGCGUUGUGUUAAACGCUUCCGCUAUCGGUCUACGAGGGUACGUAGACAACACUCUCCCCUCUCGUUGCUAUACAUCACCAUGAUCUUGCGUGUGCGUAGGAAUUUUUUUGAAAUUACUACGUUCCCCAACAGUAACAUAAUAUGUUACUGUAACAUAGCGCAUCUCAAGACAAGAUGAGUCUACAAGCUAAUAAAUGAAGUCCCCUAUGACACUACUAUUAUGUUCCUUUGCACUAUGAAGAUAGUAACUUAGACUAGUGUCAUAUGUAUGACACUAGUAUAAGUUACUAUCCACUAUGACUAGCCUUAGACAUCUGCUAAUCCUCCAUACGGAACACAGAAAUCUUGGCUAAUUUAUCCUUAAAAUGCUUUGCUAAUCCACACAGAAAACCAUGAGGGUUUUGAUGACACUCAAGGAACCAAAAGUAUACUCUUCAUUAUUUCCUUCCAUUGUUCUUUCCUUGUCAAUUUGGGCAUCUUCAACGCAAGCCGCUUAUACGGGCGCUUAGAGAAAUAAAAUUAUGCCAUAAAACUAAAAAAACUAUCCAAGCGCUCGUAUGCUACAACGCAAGGCGCUAAUAAGAUGGGCAGGUGCGGCAGCGCCGUUAUCCCGUAGAGUAGAAGUAGCUCAGGUACAACGCAAGGCGCUAAUAAGGUGGGCAAGUGCAGCAGUGCCGUUAUCCCGUAGAGCAAAAGUAGCUCAGGUACAACGCAACGCGCUAAUAAGGUGGGUAGGUGCAGCAGCGCCGUUAUCCCGUUGAGCAAAAGUAGCUCAGGUAUAACGCAACGCGCUAAUAAGGUGGGCAGGUGAUAGAGGCAAAGGUGUCCCGUCUUUCGAUGAGAUUGUGGCUAUCGUUUUGGAGGAAGUCGACUUUGACGAUCCGACUACGAACGUGCGAGGACGUCGUGCAUUAGCAAUCGCUAAACCAACUCCGAGAGGUUAUUGACCACGCCGGAGCAUGAUCAACCUGACGACGAAGGUCUGUUUCCUGCAGGUAAAUGAAGAACAAGCAAGAAACUAAGAUUGCAAUCUGGAUAUUGCGAAUAUAAGAGGAAAGCUUUAUUGAUCAAGGUGGGGUUCUAUGACGCCUUCGUCUGGUCGUUGAACACAAACGAAGUACGCGAAGUUGCAGCUAUGGCGAACUUUAAUCUAAACAAAACCCAAAGUCUAAACGACGCCCUAAGGGCUGUAUAUAUGGAGGAAGAGGGGGGAAUUUUGCCUCACAGUAAAUAUUCAAAAAAAUGAGGGGGGGAAUUUCGUGGCCCUUGGAGGAGGGGUCUGAAACCAACCCUAACUCUUGUUUCCCCACACAUACGGACUCUAAAAACAGCAUAUACUUAAGUAUUUGGAAAAUACAUGGGCCUGGCCCAAUAAUAAGGUGACGCAGCACCUAGAAUAGCCUCUGAACGAAAUUUAUGAAGUGGCAUCUUGUAUAUUUCGUCCAAGGCUUCAUGCACUCCUUAUGGUGGCUUCAAAGUCCUGAAAUCAUCACUUGUAACUCCGUUCUUGAUCCCCUUUCGCAUGCCAUCAUCUCCCUGCUUGGUCUUGCUCCAGUGUUCAUCCCUCUUAUCCAUGCCAGGCCCUUCAUUUGUAAGCAAAACUAAUGUAUCCAAUUUAGGCAGCAUCAUAUUCUCAUGAACAUUAGAAUCAUUACCAAGAAACGAAAGUACCUGGUAAUUCAAUUGGCGUGCGUGAGCUCUAGUAAUUGGUCCAGUAUGUAUAGCAGCAGGGGCUGUGGGUGUAACAAUGGUAUUGAUGUCGUCAUCAUCCUCCCCUUCUUGAAAUGAAGUCGUCCUCGACGGAAGCUCAUCUUCCUCACCCAAAUAAGGCUUCAAAUCUGCAAUGUUAAAAGUGGGACUAACCCCAAAAUCUGCAGGCAGCUCAAGUUUAUAUGCAUUAUCAUUUAUUUUAUAUAACACCUUAAAAGGACCAUCAGCACGUGGCAUUAGCUUUGAUUUGCGCAAAUUAGGAAAUCUAUCCUUACGCAAAUGUAACCAAACAAGAUCUCCAGGUGCAAACACAACAUGUUUUCUACCCUUAUCUCGAGCAAGUUUAUAUUUAGCAUUCAUACGCUCAAUGUUUUCCUUAGUUAACUCAUGCAUUUUUAAAAUCAAUUCAGCACGUUCUUUAGCAUCAAAAAUAACCUUCUCCGAAGAUGGAAGAGGCAACAAAUCAAUAGGUGCACGAAGUAGGAAACCAUACACAAUUUCAAAAGGGCACAUCUUAGUAAUAGAAUGCAAUGAACGAUUAUAAGCAAAUCCAAUAUGAGGCAAGCAUUCUUCCCACAUUUUCUUAUUAUUCUUCAAAACAGCCCUAAGCAUAGUAGACAAUGUUCAAUUGACUACUUCAGUUUGUCCAUCAGUUUGGGGGUGACAAGUAGUACUAAAAAGGAGUUUAGUCCCCAACUUAGCCCAUAAACAUCUCCAAAAGUGGCUAUGGAAUUUAGUAUCACGAUCUGAAACAAUAGUAUUUGGCACACCAUGCAAGCGAAUAAUUUCCCGAAAGAACAAAUCAGCAACAUUAACAGCAUCAUCGCUUUUAUGACAUGGUAUAAAGUGUGCCAUUUUCGAAAAUCUAUCCACGACAACAAAUAUGCUAUCCCUUCCCUUCUUUGUUCGUAGAUAUAUCCUCCCAAGGAACACCAGGUACAGGCAAAGGCAUAUAUAAACCAUGAGGAUUGAGACGUGACUUAGCUUUUUGACAUGUAGUGCAGCGAGCAACAAAAUGCUCAACAUCCCGUCUCAUCUUUGGCCAAAAGAAAUGUGUAGCAAGUAUAUCCUUCGUCUUCUUGAUGCCAAAGUGCCCCAUUAAUCCUCCUCCAUGCGCCUCCUGCAACAACAAAAGACGAAUGGAGCUAGCUGGAAUGCAUAGCUUGUUAGCACGAAACACAAAUCCAUCGUUAAGAACGAACUUGUUCCAAGUUCUCCCUUCCUUACAAUUCUGCAAUACAUCUUUAAAUUCAGCAUCAUGCACAUAUUGAUCUUUGAUGGUCUCCAAACCAAAUACUUUAAAGUCAAGUUGUGAAAGCAUAGUAUAACGACGAGACAAUGCAUCAGCAAUAACAUUUUCUUUACCGUUCUUGUGUUUAAUGACAUAAGGGAAAGUCUCAAUGAAUUCAACCCAUUUAGCAUGUCUACGGUUCAGUUUUGCUUGACUUUUAAUGUGUUUCAAAGAUUCAUGAUCAGAAUGUAUAACAAAUUCCUUGGGCCAUAAAUAAUGUUGCCAUGUUUCUAAGGUCCGAACAAGAGCAUAUAAUUCUUUAUCAUGAGUAGAAUAGUUCAGACUAGGCCCAUUCAAUUUUUCAGAAAAGUAUGCAACAGGUUUGCCAUCUUGUAAUAACACACCUCCUAAUCCAAUUCCACUAGCAUCACAUUCAAGCUCAAAAGUCUUAUUAAAAUCAAGAAGUUGGAGUAAAGGAGCAUGUGUCAAGUUAUCUUUCAAUACCGUGAAGGCUUCUUCCUGUGCAGUACCCCAAACAAAAGGCGCAUCCUUCUUUGUAAGCUCGUUGAGUGGUGCAGCAAUGGUGCUGAAAUCUCUCACAAAACGCCUACAGAAACCAGCGAGGCCAAGGAAACUCCUCACUUGUGUGACCGUUUUGGGCUGCGGCCAACUCUCAAUAGCUUCAAUCUUGGCUUCAUCAACUUCAAUCCCCUAUGGAGUAACAACAUAGCCAAGAAAAGAUACUCGGUCGGUGCAAAAGGUGCACUUCCCAAGGUUACCAAACAAACGUGCAUCACGUAGAGCAAUAAAAACAGCACUAAAUGUUCCUCCAAAGAUUUGCUAUAAAUCAAUAUGCCAUCAAAGUAAACUACCACAAAUCGUCCAAUGAAAGCACAUAAAACUUCGUUCAUUAAUCUCAUGAAAGUACUAGGUGCAUUAGUUAACCCAAAAGGCAUGACUAACCACUCAUAUAAUCCAAACUUAGUUUUAAAUGUUGUUUUCCAUUCAUCUUCCAAUUUCAUACGAAUUUGAUGGUAUCCACUACGCAAAUCAACUUUGGAGAAUAUUGUAGAGCCACUCAAUUCAUCAAGCAUAUCAUCUAGCCUAGGAAUAGGAUGACGAUAACGAAUAGUAAUAUUAUUAAUGCAUCUACAAUCAACGCACAUACACGACGUACCAUCCUUUUUCGGCACUAAAAUGAUAGGAACAGCACAAGGACUAAGGGAUUCGCGUAUAUAACCUUUGUCGAGCAGCUCUUGUACUUGACGCAUAAUCUCCUUCGUCUCCUCUGGAUUGGUACGGUAUGGUGCACGGUUGGGUAAUGAUGCACCGAGAAUUAAGUCAAUUUAAUGCUCAAUCCCUCGAAUAGGUGGUAAUCCCAGUGGCACGUCUUGUGGAAAGACGUCAGCGAACUCCUGCAAAAUGUUAGUGACAGCAGGAGGCAAAGAGGAAGGCACGUCCUCGAAUGAAAAUAAUGCCUCUUUGCACACAAAAGCAUAGCAAACAGAUUUGCUAAAAUCUAGAUCAUCAAUAUCAGAUUUGGUGGCAAGUAAACAUGAACUUUUCAAUUUAAUUUCAGAAGCAACACUAGAUGGUUUAUUAUUAGGCUUCAUUUGUUGCUCAAAUUCUUUUGCCACAAUCUGAUUUUCAUUCUUAUUUUGCACCUAUUUUGCUUUAUUAGCUCUAUUAAUAUCAUCUUUCAAAAUGGAAUCAGGAGUCAUAGGAAGCAAAGUAAUAUUUUUGUCCUUGUGAACAAGAGUAUACUGAUUGUUUCUAUCAUGGUGUACAGAAUUUUUAUCAAAUUGCCAUGGUCUACCAAGUAAUAAGGAACAUGCUUGCAUAGGUACCACAUCACAAUCAACAUAAUCAACAUAUGUAGAGAUACUAAAAUGCACACGAACAGUACGUGUUACCUUAACCUUGCCGCUGUUGUUGAACCAUUGGAUGUAGUAAGGAUGUGGAUGUGGUCUUGUGGUGAGAGAUAGCUUCUCCACCAUCUCCAUUCUAGCCAAGUUGUUGUAGCUCCCUCCAUCUAUGAUGACGCGAACAGAACGUUCCUUCACAACUCCCUUUGUAUGGAACAAAUUAUGCAUUUGAUUUUGCUCAGCUUGUGUAACCUGCACACUCAAAACACGUUGAGCAACUAAAAAUUCAUACCUGUCAGCAUCUUCAGCAGCCAUGUAUUGUGUCUCAUGAUCAGAAUCAUCUCCACCGUGUUCUUCAUGUGUAAUAAGAGCCAAAGUCUCCUCAUCAUAGUCACUGGCGGACUCAUACCCACCAUCCUCAGUAGCAAUCAUCACACGCUGAGAUUUGCAUUCUCUCGCAAAAUGUCCUCUUCCCUUACAACGACGACAAAUAAUAUCACUUGUGUGCCCUGUUGAUGCCAUGGAAGAAGAAGAGCUCUGCGCAGCCCUGGCAGGUGUGCUCUUGGCAGAUAGUGGUGGUUGUGCCUGCUUUCUUGUAUCACGACUGGAGGUGGCACCUGAUGGAGGUGCUGGUGCAGUGGAAGUAGAGGAUGCACGUGGUGUCCAUGAUGAAGAUCGACCUGCAGAAAAGUUAGUUCGCGUCAAUGCCUGUCGAUCUUGUACUUCACGUUCAGCUUUACAAGCAAGAUGGAAUAAACGAGUGAUAUUAUUAUACUCCUUAUACUGUAGAAUGGUCUGAAUCUCUCUAUUCAAUCCACCCAUAAAACGCGCAAGCAUAGCUUCAUUCUCCUCAACAAUACCAUAUCUAAUCAUGCCAGUUUGUAAUUCCUGAUAAUAUUCUUCUACCGAAUUUUUUCCUUGUCUUCAACGCUGCAAUUUUUGAAUUAAUUCACGUUGAUAAUAUGGUGGAACCCAACGAGUACGCAUAGCAGUUUUCAAAGUAGCCCAAGUAGCUGGAAUAGGAUAUAAUCUACAAUGUUCAGACCACCAAACACAUGCAAAGCUAGUGAAAACACAAACAGCAGCAGGAACACGUCUCUCCUCAGGAUAUUGUAAACAUAUAAAUCGUUGUUCAGUUUCUAACUCCCAAGUAAGAUGUAUAUCAGGAACAUAUCUAGACUCAAAUGGUGGAAUAUUCAAUUUCAGUUUAGGAAGAUGGUCAUGAUCUUGUAUCUGACGGAGAGCCCUACCAUUGUGAUUAUUUGCAUGUGGAUGACCUGGUGGUUAUGGUGCUGGUGGUUGCACGUAGUUCUGAUUUUGAUCAACCUCAUCCUCGUAAUCUCCCGCAUAAUCAUCCUCCGCAUCAACAGCAGGAGCCAUAGCAGCACCAACAGUUUGGCCAGGCUGAAGAAGGACACGGCUCGCUCGGCGGAGGGCUGUUUCGCAACGUGGAGGUAGUUGUUGUUGUUGUUGUUGUUGUUGUUGUUGUUGUUGUUGUUGUUGUUGUUGUUGUUGUUGUUGUUGUUGUUGUUGCAGAGGUGCGGCAGGUGCAGCCGGUGGUGGAAGACGCGCAAGCAGGUCAUUAAAUCUGUUAUCGAGCUUUGUUUCGAACGUCUUCUCAAGGCCAAUGAUCUUCUCUAUGGCCUCUUCAAAAUUGUUCAGCACAUCUUGCACCUGUUCAGUCAUAAUUUGCUGAAACUUAUCAUGAAGCUCCUUGUUCGUUAAGUUCUUCCAGUCAAUCUCGUCGGCUUGUGAUCCUGGCAUGGUUAGCAGCAAUAUAAACACACAAGAAUAGGAUCCUACAGACUACUAACAAGUGGUGGUGGUGGUGGGUGUCACAAAUCCGUCAAGCAAAUCUCAAAUUAUUACCAGUUCUUACCCAGCAGCAGGCGGUGAUCGGCAGCCGAUGUAGUCAAAACUCUCAAAGCUUGGAUAGAGCGAUUACCAAGAGAGUCAAACGCACGAUGUAGAUGUAUGUGGAGCUGGUAAGGCUUAUAAUAUGGUAGCAAAAAGGAUCAGCAAUAAUCAAUUCAGAGAUGCAAAGUUGAAUAAACGCUCAAUGAUGGUACUGUGCUGGUCCUAGGCUAGACCGUGCUAGAGACGCGAGCCUAGAACACUAACAGAAUCACGGCGCUGCACGUAAAUAAGGGAGGAGCACACUCUGAUUUUUUUUCCUUUUUUCACCUUUUUUUACACUUUUUUUUUGCUCUGCAACAAAUUUUUUUCGAAAAAAUCUACAAAUGGUCUAAAAACUGCCUAGCCAGAAUUUUCCAGACUUAGUUUUUUUUUUAGUUUGGAACUAUUUUUCCUCUGCGGGUAGCACAGAAAUUGGGGAGUCUGACUUGGUCACGACUCGAAGUAUCGCGUGAUCUGGAACUCAAAAACAAAGCAACAAAUACUGUGCUCGGACUAGGACUGGUGGCGGAGAUGAAUCUGGUGGAACUCGGACUGGUGGCGGAGAUGAAUCUGGUGGAACUCAGACUGGUGGCAGAUAUAUGUUGCAGGUGGACUCGAAUUGGCGUGAUGGCGGCGGAUAUGCGGUGGCGUAUAUGGACUCGGAUUGGUGGUGAGUAUGUGGUGAUGGUAUAUGGCAGCGACGAUGAAGUUGGUGUGGUGGUGGUAUAUGGCAGCAGCGAUGAUGAUGAUGCGGUGGUGAUAUAUGGCAGCGGCGACGUGACAAUCUGUGAACAGAACUCGAAACUCUAAAGGACUAGACGCUAAGACCAGCAAGUUGACACGACGAUGCAGCCGCAAAUUCAACAAAGCAAAUACAGAAAAGAUUAUGCAAAGGCUCAGAUUGGUUCGGAUAGGAUGAACUAACCCUAAUUUUUUUGGCUUUUUUCGUAGACGAUAGGUAUGAAGAACAGACUCGAUCUAAACUAUGAAAAACUAUAAAAUCUAACCGAGCAACCUGAAAAUCUGAUACCACUUGAUAGAGGCAAAGGUGUCCCGUCUUUCGAUGAGAUUGUGGCUAUCGUUUUGGAGGAAGUCGACUUUGACGAUCCGACUACGAACAUGCGAGGACGUCGCGCCUUAGCAAUCGCUAAACCAACUCCGAGAGGUUAUUGACCACGCCGGAGCACGAUCAACCUGACCACGAAGGUCUGUUUCCUGCAGGCAAACGAAGAACAAGCAAGAAACUAAGAUUGCAAUCUGAAUAUUGCAAAUAUAAGAGAAAAGCUUUAUUGAUCAAGAUGGGGUUCUGUAACGUCUUUGUCUGGUCGUUGAACACAAACGAAGUACGCGAAGUUGCAGCUAUGGCGAACUUUAAUCUAAAGAAAAUCCAAAGUCUAAACGACGCCCUAAGGGCUGUAUAUAUGGAGGAAGAGGGGGGAAUUUCGUGGCCCUUGGAGGAGGGGUCCGAAACCAACCCUAACUCUUGUUUCCCCACACAUACGGACUCUAAAAAUAGCAUAUACUUAAGUAUUUCGAAAAUACAUGGGCCUGGCCCAAUAAUAAGGUGACGCGGCACCUAGAAUAGCCUCUGGACAAAAUUUAUAAAGUGGCAUCUUGUAUAUUUCGUACAAGGCUUCAUGCACUCCUUAUGGUGGCUUCAAAGUCCUAAGAUCAUCACUUGGAACUUCGUUCUUGAUCCCCUUGCGCAUGCCAUCAUCUCCCUGCUUGGUCUUGCUCCAAUGUUCACCCCUCUUAUCCAUGCCAGGCCCUUCAUUUGUAAGCAAAACAAAUGUAUCCAAUAUAGGCAACAUCAUAUUCUCAUGAAUAUUAGAAUCACUACCAAGAAACGAAAGUACCUGGUAAUUCAAUUGACGUGCGCGAGCUCUAGUAAUUGGUCCAGUAUGUAUAGCAGCAGGGGCUGUGGGUGUAACAAUGGUAUUUAUGUCCUCAUCAGCAGGUGCAGCAGCGCCGUUAUCCCAUAGAGCAAAAGCAGCUCAGGAGCUUGCUUCCAAUUCUUGCGUCGACGCCAGACCGAUGCCAGGAAUUAAAGGCCCAACUGCCGAUUCACCAGGACAUGUAUCCUGGCGCCCCGGCUAGCGCCCGCGUUGGGCAUGCUCUUCGAAGAUGCAACCUCGUCGUGGGAAGCUGCACCCGGUGACGCCGGGAUCUACAACCUCUUGUCGGAGGAGCAACAGGGCUCAUCGGUCACCACGGUAUCGCCGGGAGUUCCAGCAAAUGUGUCUGCUAAUUCCAACAAACGGGAGCACCAGUUCCAGCACAUAUUCUCGCUGGUUCAAACAUCUUUGGCCGCGGGUUUGCUGGGAGACGACGGGCUGUUUCCAACAAAUGCGGCCACUGGUUCCGAUGAUGGCCGCCGUGCACCACCCAUCGCGCUCAUCUGUUGCAGUCGUCGCACGCUCUGGCAGUUCCGUGCUACAACCAGCCACGUGGGGAAACUGGAACCAUCAGUGCUGCGAGCUGCAACCGGCAAUGUGAGGAUCUGAGAUAGGACGGACGGCAUGCGGCGACACACCGAGAAUGCUGGAACCGGCAACAUUUUUGGUGGAACCGUCGGUGCAGUGUGUUGCAACCGGAGAGUCCAAAGCUGCAAACUGACCACCGUGUACUGGGUGACCAAAAAAGCUUCAACCAGUGGCGCAUUUUGCUACAAUGGUUGCCGUGACAAACACAACAUCAAUCGAUGGCACGCGGCGGAGCUGCAUCUGAUGAAUUUUGUUUUGCUGCAACCGGCACCUGUUUUUGCUGUAACCAUAGAGAGCGGGGGCCAAGCGUCGGCGCGUCAGAGCUACAUCCAGUGUCCCAAAAUGAUACAACCUGCUUCGGGUUUUGCUGGAACCAUAGAAAUCUUUUCCCAUGGGUGAUGCAACCAGGGGGUUGCACUGGCGCGGCGCGGUGGCUACCAUUGUGGCCGAUUUGUUUUUGAGACAUCGGCGACCCGAGGGACCAGCAGUGCGGCGAGCAGCGUGCUUCGAGCUCACUGGCAGCGGGGGCAUGGCCGUGGUAAGCGCGAGCCACGCGGGGCAUGUGCGAGCGGCGUGGGGACGAGAAAGCGAGGAGGAAGACGCGAGAGAGGGACGUCGCUCAUCAGACGGUUGUCAUGCAUCAAAUCAGAGGGCGGCGCGGGGCAUGGCCCAAAUUUGGGCUGGCCAACCGGCGCCCAAAUCACUGCCCUUUGGACUAACAUACCUCGCGUCUACGCGCCCAUCUUCAGCAUCGACGCGGACAUGCGGGGCUUGCCGCUGCUGGACCGCCUCACGCCGAAGACGACGGGCGCGGGACCUGACCGACGGCGACGCUCGUGGGCCAGGACGGGCGGUUCGUGUGCGGCGGCAUCGACAACGAACACCGGUCCAGACUCCAGACUGCGCGCUUGCCUCUGCCGAACGACCGCGAGCACCAUGGAUUCUCGUCGUGCACUCACUGCCUUUCCUCGUCGCCGCUGCUGCUGGUCUCGGGGCUGGCUAUCAUCUAGUACUACGUACUCACUGCCUUCCGUCAUUGUCGACCGGAUGCCUGCAGCGGUGCAGCCUACCAGCUACAACGUCGCGCGGACGCGGUGGGCGACGGACAGGACAUGUACACGAGCGGCUCCUCCCUUUCCUGGGCAUCGUCCCAUUCAACCACGUCAACAGCCACCGCGCCGGACGGCCGCGUGCUCCCAUCUCCGCGGGCGCUCCCGUGCGUGGCCACCUCCACCAUGUGCGAUCUGGGGCAUGCUGCUCCGCACAGGAGCAAGUUCAAUGGUCCGGGGCGCGCUCUCUGUAGCGAUGCUACAACACGGGGUGUGCUUGCUAGCUACACCGCCGGAUGAGGCAGCACCGACAGCAAGUGGCCACGUUUUUCUUUUUCUUUUUUGAGUUGUUCUAAACGGCAUGGAAUGCGGAAGUUUUUUUUUUAGGUACAUGAACUGGAGAAGUUUUUGUUUUUGUUUUGAGGACAUGAACUGGAGAAGUUAUUAUGCAAGAUCAAGCAACGUUUUUGCUUCAUAUUUGUCGCGGCCGUGUGUAUGUUUAUUGCGUAAUAAACCAUUUAUAACGGUAACUAAUUACGCAACCAACCUUAUGACGCGUCUGUUUGUAACAUGUCUCUUUGGUUCGGUAUUUUUAGGGAAACGUUUACUGCCGGCGGACCGGCCAACUCUUUGCGCCGGUCGAACGCUCGCUCGCAACAUUGUGCCCAUGUGUGUGGAGCCACGUCCCCGUACGUGGGGCCCUUGCACCGAUCCAUUGGUCUUAUCCAGCCAGGGGUGAACUUCUUUUCUCCCCCAAUUCCUCAACGCACACCAUCCCACUCGUUCCUCUGCUCACCAACGCCAUGGCUGCCCCUCUCCUCCUCCGCUCACCAACGCUAUGGCUGCUCCUCUCCUCCUCCUCCUCCUUUGCGGCCGGCAGUAGCAUGCCCGUCGUUCGUUGCCGCAUUUUUUCCCGUUUGGGAUCCCUGUGUGCUGGCGCCGCCGCCGACAGGAUGUUGGAACCGGCAGUGGCGGAUGCGACAAACCGCUGGUCGCCGGAGCUGCAACGACCUCGACCGGCGACAUAGCGGUGGCACCACCGGUGCUGAAGAAGAUGCGCGGACACCGCGGUGCUACAUCAGGUACCAGCAGAUGCUGGAACGGCGGCCCCCAUUUGUUGGAACCGGCCAUGGAGGGUGCUGGGACGGGCGGUAUCGGUUUGCUACCGGAGACCAUGGCCACGCCUGAUGCUGGAACCGGCCACGGCAAUGAUGGAACCGACAUUUGUGGAUGCUACAACCGGCCAUCGAAUUGCUGGGACCAUCUGCGACGGGAUGCUAGAACGGGGCUAUGGCGGAUCCUACAACCAUUGGUCCCCGAAGCUGCAACCGGCGCCGCGCGAUGCGACGUCUGUGACGUUGCGGUGCUACAUCGACGCCGGUGAUUUUGCUGGAACCAUCAGGCAUUUUUCUUUUUGCUUCAACCAGCCAUUGUUUUUGCUGGAACCAACAGCCAUUUUUGCUGGAACAUGCUAUUUCCAUGGAUGCGAGUAUGAAAACAUUUUUUCUUCGUUGGGAUCGACAAGUAAUUUUUUAUACAACCGGCAAGCAGUUUUGCUUCAACUAGCAUAUGUUUUUGCUGGAACCAUCGGAAUUUUUGGCUGGAGCCCGUGUUUUCUAGAGAUGUUAGCAUUUUUUCUUUUUUACUGGUAUCGGUGAGUCAAUUUUUGAUGCAGCCGACGAGAAAUUUUGCUUCAAACAACAUCUUAUUUUGCUGGAACCAGCUAUUCCAAAGAUGUGACAACCGUCGGUUUUCUAGAGCUGUGACGGGUCACCGCUGCAGCUGCAACGGUCACGACGGCGAGACACGCUGCAAGGUCACCGGGGUUGCUGGAACGGCGGUCCCGGGGGAAAGGGAGGAGGAGGUUUGAUGCAACCCAGUAGCAAGGGCGGCGAUCCGGCGAGCAGCGGCGACCCGGCCAGCGACAUCGACCAUGGCGACCGCAAGGUGGAGGCGCGGGGACCGGUCCGUAGAUUUUUGGUCAACGGCCGUGAGAUUCAGGAGGCAGAGGAAGGCGCAAGGUGAGCUGGGUGAAUCGUUUUUUUUCUGGCGAAAUCCGACGGCCGCGUAGCUCGCAUCGUACGGCUGGGAUGCGACCGAUCAUCCCCCAUAUUUUUAAGAGAAAAGUCUCAUCCCUCAAUUUUCAAACUAGACAAAUUGCACCUUAAAUUUUUCAAACCGGACAAAUUUCGUCCUUCGAACCAGCCAAAGCGGUUUUCAUGCUGACUCAGCAUGGUUUUGUUAUGGCAUUAUUUCUCUAUCUUAUUCAUUCCAUCUCUUCUUCCUUUCCAUUCUAUUAUGUCUCUAGUGAGCAUUUCAUAAUCAAUUAGUGUGCGCCGGCUACCGAGGCACUGCCGUGGCAUGCCGACGGGCUGUGCCCGCGCUCGAGAGUCGAGAGGCUCCGUCGCGCGACGUGUCCCUGUUGCUGUGCCGGCCGGAGGGCGUCAUGCUGUAGCAGCAGCACCUCCUCCGCAGCUUGUCUCUGUAGCAGCAUGGGGUGCCCGCCGCGCAAGUGCCGGAGCGCCCCCGGCGAUACCGAGGAGGCCUGCCAGUAGGGGGUGGCCAAGAAGCCGACGAGGUCAGCGUGGGGCACAGUUACUGUCAGUCUGUCAGCGUGAGCCUCUGAAGCCGAAGCUUCAGCCCGUUCGUGCUGCUGAUGCUCGUGUUGUUCGUCGUACCGCCGUCACGGUCACGACCAAGGGCAGUGGCAGCGAAGCCGCUGAACCGCCGACCGUAACUCCGCCUCCCGCCGCCCACCGUAUUGGUAACGAUGACCAGGAGACCGGCGCCGCCACCGACGCGUCGAUGAUUGAGCUCGGGGUGUGGACGAGAGUGCGACAUCUCCUCUGGCGGUGGGUGUACGACGAUGAGCUCCGGGCACCGCGUCGCUGGCCGCACCGUGCGCGCCGUCUCCAUCUUUAACCACGCCACGCACUGUACCGCCGCCGACGUGCUCGUCUUUUAACUCCUAGCUCUGAUGGCGCCGACGUCCUCCACGGCUCGUCCGCAGCUGCACGAGACCCCCCACGCUGUGUGCGCUCGGCAUGGCGCUCCUCCUCGAGUACGUGGGCGCGUGUGCGGACGACGAAGCUGGGGCGUGCGCCGUUGGGAAGCCGUCGAAGACGCACUUGUGGAAGGUUGUGAGGCACGGGAGCACCGGCAGGAGAUGAUGCCACUGCUCGCUGCUCGGCCAUGGACAGCACGCGGCAGUGCAUGCCACGUGUUUGAUGACAUGCCUCAGUAGCUAAUGUGAGAAGGAAGAAGAAAGGGGAGAGAAAUACCGCCAUGUGGAUGAGGACCGGUCAACACCGUGCUGAGUCAGCAGCGAUACCCAGUUCACCCAAGACAAGGAACUAAACUUGUUCGGUUUUAAGAAUUAGGAGUGCAAGUUGACUGGUUUAUGAGUUGAGGGAUAAAAUUUAGACUUCGGUAAUAGAUAAGGAACGAAAAGUAAACUUUUCUCUGUGUUUAACCUGCUGCCUGUUCAUAUGACAUCUCCAAAGACGACAAAAAUCCGGUCGUGUUCAUCUCCGCACUAUGGUAACAACAAUAACAGACUCCAUCAUCCACCGGGCGCCAACCAUCACCGCACAAUGCAUUGGCCGAAAUGGAAUAUGUAAACAUAAAUAAAUUACCUUGUAGGCAUUUCAUUGAGCACUUGACGGCCACGGCCCUUGUUGCCAGCUGCGGCAUCCGAUCGUGCCGGAACUACUGGCCAUAGGGGUGGCCGGAAACGCCGUGCAAAGCAUCGGACAUGGACGAGGGGCCAGAGUCGCUUCCUUGUUCCUCUUCUUCGCCGUCUCCUCGGCGAGGGCCGAAGCGGCAGCCGUUGGUUUCCUAGCAUGCUUGCCUCCGACGAGAGCAGCGGGAGGGCGGCCUACCAACGCCGGAGACAUAGUGGCCACCAUGCCGACCUUAAUAUCAAUGGUAGUUGCUGGUGCGGUGGACUGAAUAAGAGCCUUUGUCCACAUUCUUUUUUGGGGUGCGGGCGGCGGCGACACACCGACGGGGCGGCGGAAGGGUCUUGGCUUCCCGUUCCAGCCAGAGUGGGGGUCAUCAGUGGCGACGUGCGGCGCGUGGGGGCGGCAGCGCGAAACGGUGGCCGAGCGGGCGGGAGAAGAGGGGUGGUGAAACUUUACUCUGCCGCGCCGGGGGAGACUUUUUUUGUGUGCCUUGGGCCAACUUUUCGGUCAUCUGAUAAAAGUUCGGCUAGGUCCGUGUAAGAACCGUCAAAAUUAGAUAACAAUAAUUUCAACGGUGUUGCCUAAACAUUAAUUAAAAUAAUGGAAACACCUGACAUUUAAUUUUUAUUAUAGCAAAUAGCAUUUGACCAUGCACAACAAAAUAUUUUCCAAACCUCCAUAUAUUCUACAAAUUUAUAAUCAGAUCUUGGUCUCAUUUUUUUCCACAUAAAGUAAAUGCCAACUAAUGGCCAGUCAAGCAAAUUACACUUGUCCCUAGUACAGCCUACAAGAGACACAAGUGGAGGCAUGCAUGCAAGCCUAACCACGCAUGCAUGCCAGAUGUAAUGCCUCUCCAAACCGACAUAGCUACUAACCCCACUAUAAAUAGGAGCCAUUCCUUUCACUGUGGUCCAUUCCACCUCACACGCACACAUACACUGGAGUACCACCACCACUUGCCUUUUCACCUUCUGCCACACUGUUGUCCUUCACUGCGGUGAAGCCCUUUGGGUUGCAUGCGCCAUCAGGUACUAAUCAAGUACCUUGUUGUGUUAGCCCUUCUUGCUUGACUUCUUGUCUAUCUUCACCUCGGUUUGAAUCAGUCCAUGAGCAUCUAUUCACCUUGAUCUAUUUAUCUUGCUGUAAAAAGAACAAAAUGUUUACGUAAACACCCAAGUUAAUCAAAACUAAUUAGAUCAAUUGCAAAAGCUUGUAAAAGUUUCUGUGAAUGACAUCUAUGGCUUGUACUAGAUCUAACAUGCCAAGAAUCAAAUCCUAAGUACUAGUAACUUGCUAAGACAUGUAUGUGUGUAUCCAAAAGUUCAAUCUUCCUGUGUAUACUACCUUGUUCUAAUUAUUAAUCCCUGCCAAUCUGUAGCAAAAAUUGAGUGAUUGAUGUUUAUAAUCUACUCACAAGUAAUUAAUUUUGGAGUUUCACUGCCACUAUUUGCUUCUAUAUGGUGUUCAAGGAUGAGUAGCACUAGUUAGGAACAACAUUUAGAUCUAAUCAGUAGCAAUACCAUGACCGCGCCAUAGAUUAAAUCUUGAUUAAUUUCAUGGCCUUGAGAUAAACAAAGAGAAAGAAGGCAAUAUGGCUGAGUGGGCAAUAGUAGGGCCUGAGAUAAAAUGAACACUAUAUGCACACCCACGUUGACAUCUAGCAAGCACUCGAUGUGAAAUUUGGAACACUUAUGGAGAAGGAAUCAGAAUUAGUACUUACCAGUAGUAGCAGUAGGAUGUGGCUAGUCCACACCGUUAGCAGCAGAGCCAUGCGACCGAGCAGCGCCGGUGAAGCCGCACACGCCCGACGCCCGUGGCUGCACGCCUCGUGCGUGUGGCUGCGCUGGGGGAGGAUGU
rnacentral:lncRNA from 1 species